rnacentral:rRNA from 1 species
UACGGGGGGGGCAAGCGUUGUUCGGAAUUACUGGGCGUAAAGGGCUCGUAGGCGGCCCUCUCAGUCGGAUGUGAAAUCCCCAGGCUUAACCUGGGAAUGGCAUCCGAUACUGGAGGGCUUGAAUUCGGGAGAGGGAUGCAGAAUUCCAGGUGUAGCGGUGAAAUGCGUAGAUAUCUGGAGGAAUACCGGUGGCGAAGGCGGCAUCCUGGACCGGCAUUGACGCUGAGGAGCGAAAGCUAGGGGAGCAAACGGG